rnacentral:tRNA from 1 species
GCCACAUUAGCUCAGUUGGUCAGAGCAGCCUAACAUGGUGGUUGGUCGUAGGUUCGAGUCCUGCAUGUGGCUCA